CGCAACAUGUGUUGUUCCCCGACUUCUGUACACGCCGGGAACUUUUGAUAGUUAACGGCGCUCCGUAUCGGCGACACAGCCGUGAGCUACGGCCACUGGAUCCGAACGACAACAGGUGCAUCAGAUAUGCAGCAUAUGCAUGUUUCACCAAUUGGAUAUGGGGGUACCUUGGCCCAAGGAACAGACGUCAGAUUCCAGGCUGUGUUGUGCGCACUAUUCGGAACCUGUUCCCAUCUGCCACGUACACAGGCUACUUCCCGUGAAAGG